rnacentral:tRNA from 1 species
UUUACUGGAGCUUGUUAUAAGCACAUCUUUGUUAAGGAUGAGGAAGGAGGUUAACCACUCUCGGUAAAG